AUGGCUCGCGGUGAUCAUCAAAAUGAUGAUGAUGAUUUCAUGGAUCCACCACAGCAGAAUCGGGCAACUGGACGGAGAAAAGACAGCGACGGGAAGAAGAAACGUACUCGCAACAGGGCCUCGCAGGAACGACUGACUUCAUUAACUGACAGAUUUACCGACGAUCAGAAGGGAGCUGCUGCUGAGAUGGGUAUGCAGGCUCUGAUGGAUGUCCGGUGCACGAAUCUAGUCAACCCUGUAUGCGACUGGCUUGGUGAGAUUUACGACCCCGCCUUCAGGGAAUUUGUGAUUUCGGGACGUGGAAGACUGCCGUUGAACGAGGAAUCCGUGUUCUGCACUUUGGGUGUGCCCCAUGGAGAAAUCAAAGUCCCGUAUGAGGCCAUGACAACCCAUGGCGAGGUUUUUAAGACGAAACUACUCAUGUGCCUCAUCUCAGCUGUUUUCGCGACGAUCACUUCUCUUCGCCUAAGCAACAAAUGCUUCCCCAUCCUGGCGAAACUGAAAGAUGUGAAGAACAUGAAUUGGUGUAAGUUCAUUGCUGACUUCUUGCAUGAUGCAUUCUCAAGCAAAAUGUACCAGAAGAGUUGUCGACUGCAUUUAAUGCUCAUGUACGUCGACUGUCUUGAUCUGUCCACCGUGGAUUUCACUGGGACAGGAGGCCCGCCGCCUAUGCACAAGUUUGUUGUUUCUGCGUGGACUUACGAUGCUGUCAAGGCUGUGCUUGCAGCAGACAGCCUAAUCGCCAACCAUGCUAUAGACUACAACGUGUUUGGGGGGCCUCAAAAUUUUGGAAAGUGGAUGGACGUGCACUCAGCUCCGUCUUGCCCUACUGAGGCGAGGGCACCUGUUGAGCAUCUAAUUGGGAAGUUUGCAUCCGGAAUGACCAGCUUGCUCGAGAAGAUGGUUGAGGGUUGGACGUCCCUUAAUGGCUCUGACAGCGACGCGGUUGCGAGGCAGUUCACUACAUUUGUCCCAGAACGGACACAUCGGCCAACUGGUUGCUGUGGUCAGUACGACUACAACAGUUCCCAAGAGCUUGCUGACACACAAGAUGAACUAGAUGGAGACGCUGGUCUCAACAAGGAUGAUCGCGAUGACAUGGAGAAAGUGCAACAUGAGACCGAUGAUGAUGAACAUGAUGAAGUUCGUGCAGGUGGUAAGAAGGGCAAGGAUGCACUAGAUGUCCCCCCACCGGAGAAUGUCAAAGAACAUACGGCUGCAAGAGGUGAGGGGGUGUUGCCCUCAAAGAGGGGGAGGGCUCCAGAGGAUGUUGGGCAGGGUUCUCCUGGCAAGAGGCUAGAACAACAGGCAUCCGUACAUCAGGGAGUGACGAGUCGGUAUCUGCCAGGACAGCUGAAAUAUUGCCCACUCUUCUGGCAAUGA
rnacentral:rRNA from 1 species